rnacentral:rRNA from 1 species
GUGAGGAAUAUUGGUCAAUGGGCGAGAGCCUGAACCAGCCAAGUCGCGUGAAGGAAGAAGGAUCUAUGGUUCGUAAACUUCUUUUGCAGGGGAAUAAAGUGCGGGACGUGUCCUGUUUUGUAUGUACCCUGAGAAUAAGGAUCGGCUAACUCCGUGCCAGCAGCCGCGGUAAUACGGAGGAUCCGAGCGUUAUCCGGAUUUAUUGGGUUUAAAGGGUGCGUAGGUGGUUUGAUAAGUCAGCGGUGAAAGUUUGCAGCUUAACUGUAAAAAUGCCGUUGAAACUGUCGGACUUGAGUGUAAAUGAGGUAGGCGGGAUGCGUGGUGUAGCGGUGAAAUGCAUAGAUAUCACGCAGAACUCCGAUUGCGAAGGCAGCUUACUAAGCUACAACUGACACUGAAGCACGAAAGCGUGGGGAUCAAACAGGAUUAGAAACCCUGGUAGUCC